rnacentral:rRNA from 1 species
GAUGAACGCUGGCGGCGUGCCUAAUACAUGCAAGUCGAGCGAACAGACGAGGAGCUUGCUCCUCUGACGUUAGCGGCGGACGGGUGAGUAACACGUGGAUAACCUACCUAUAAGACUGGGAUAACUACGGGAAACCGGAGCUAAUACCGGAUAAUAUAUUGAACCGCAUGGUUCAAUAGUGAAAGACGGUUUUGCUGUCACUUAUAGAUGGAUCCGCGCCGCAUUAGCUAGUUGGUAAGGUAACGGCUUACCAAGGCAACGAUGCGUAGCCGACCUGAGAGGGUGAUCGGCCACACUGGAACUGAGACACGGUCCAGACUCCUACGGGAGGCAGCAGUAGGGAAUCUUCCGCAAUGGGCGAAAGCCUGACGGAGCAACGCCGCGUGAGUGAUGAAGGUCUUCGGAUCGUAGAACUCUGUUAUUAGGGAAGAACAAAUGUGUAAGUAACUAUGCACGUCUUGACGGUACCUAAUCAGAAAGCCACGGCUAACUACGUGCCAGCCGCCGCGGUAA